rnacentral:rRNA from 1 species
GACGAACGCUGGCGGCGUGCUUAACACAUGCAAGUCGAACGGAAAGGCCCUGCUUUUGUGGGGUGCUCGAGUGGCGAACGGGUGAGUAACACGUGAGUAACCUGCCCUUGACUUUGGGAUAACUUCAGGAAACUGGGGCUAAUACCGGAUAGGAGCUCCUGCUGCAUGGUGGGGGUUGGAAAGUUUCGGCGGUUGGGGCUGGAUUCGCGGCUUAUCCGCUUGUUGGGGGGGUAGUGGCUUACCAAGGCUUUGACGGGUAGCCGGCCUGAGAGGUUGGCCGGCCACAUUGGGACUGAGAUACGGCCCAGACUCCUACGGGAGGCAGCAGUGGGGAAUAUUGCGCAAUGGGCGGAAGCCUGAUGCAGCAACGCCGCGUGCGGGAUGACGGCUUUCGGGUUGUAAACCGCUUUCGCAUGUGACGAAGCGUGAGUGACGGUAAUGGGUAAAGAAGCACCGGCUAACUACGUG